rnacentral:rRNA from 1 species
AGUGGCGCACGGGUGAGUAACACGUGAAUAACGUACCUCCGGAUGGGGAAUAACGUUCCGAAAGGAGCGCUAAUACCGCAUAAGACCACGUCAUCACAAGAUGAUGAGGCCAAAGCAGCAAUGCGUCUGGAGAUCGGUUCGCGUCCCAUUAGAUAGUUGGCGGGGUAAUGGCCCACCAAGUCAAAGAUGGGUAGCUGGUCUGAGAGGAUGAUCAGCCACAUUGGGACUGAGACACGGCCCAAACUCCUACGGGAGGCAGCAGUGGGGAAUCUUGCGCAAUGGGCGAAAGCCUGACGCAGCAACGCCGCGUGAGUGAUGAAGGCCCUCGGGUCGUAAAGCUCUGUCAGAAGGGAAGAAUAGAUGACGGUACCUUCAAAGGAAGCACCGGCUAACUCCGUGCCAGCAGCCGCGGUAAUACGGAGGGUGCAAGCGUUACUCGGAAUCAUUGGGCGUAAAGCGCACGUAGGCGGUCUCUUAAGUCCGAUGUGAAAUCCCGGGGCUCAACCUCGGGUGGCCAUUGGAAACUGAGAGACUUGAGAGUGGAAGGGGUCAGUGGAAUUCCUGGUGUAGGAGUGAAAUCCGUAGAGAUCAGGAGGAACACCGGUGGCGAAGGCGACUGACUGGGCCAUUUCUGACGCUAAUGUGCAAAAGCGUGGGGAGCAAACAGGAUAGAUACCCUGGUAGUCCACGCCGUAAACGA